ACGUCCCCGGCUGCAAGGGACCCGCAAGGGUCAUCCAAGGCCAACUGCUGGCCCUGCACAGGACAGCCCCCGAGGCACAGCGUGUGCCUGAGCGCGUUGUCCGAAGGCUUCUUGAACUCUGUCCGCCUGGCGCUGUGACCACUGCCCUGGGGAGCUUCUUCCAGGGCCCAAACACCCUGUGAGUGAAAAACCUUUUCUUAAUAUCCAGCCUAAAGCUCCCCUGGCUCAGCUUCGUGCCGUUACCGUGAACAUCCCGGGCUGCCUGCUCCUGUGCACCUGCCAGAAGGCACAGCAGCACCGGCAGGGGAUCCAUCCCUCCCCUGGGCUGCCGUGGGGAGAAGGAAGUACUUGCUGCUUGGCUUCUUUGCACGCGGAGAACUCCGAGUAAGCUCCUUCCAAAAUGCCGUGUGCAGCUGGGUCCGGGUUCUCUGCUGCGGGUGUGCUGCAUCUCUGUCGUGAUGGACAUGACAGAGUAAUGCCGAGCCCCAAGUAAAGUGUCAUCUCAGGAAACCCUGUGAAGGUUUUACCGUGAUGAAAGUGCAUAAGAAGUAUCACUGUUACCAUCUCGAACCUCUGUUAAAAUACAACAGAGGCAUAAACUGACCGCAGCACUGAAGCACAGAAAAGACACAAUCCAAGAUGUCCAAAUGAGUGUUCACAAAGCACAGGAAUAACAGGUUUUUUCCUUUAAAUAGCAUUAUUUCUACCGUUUUUCCCCUUCAACGGUAAUGUGGGAGAUGAGGGUAGACCCGAGACUCCUCUUCAUCCUUACCACAGUAGCAGAUCAAGAUUACAUUUUCUGAGGCUGAAAGACAAUUAUCCUCAGUUAAGAAAAAGGAGUAGGUCAUAGACAUGCUUUACAACAAGCUCCUGAUAGGGUUGUAAGAUAGCAAAAAAAAAAAAAAAAUAAAACAAUCCGUAAGGAAAAUGUAUAUGAGCAAUACACACAUUUAGAUUAUUAAUAAUCCCUCAGACUUUGGAACAGUCGAUGCCCUUGUGCAGGUAAGAAGGUGCUUCUUAUACAGCCAGAUGAUUAUGUAAGUGCAGGUUUUACCAGAUCACAUCAACUCCUCAAUUCAUACGUCAUUGCAUAACAGCUCUUACAUUUUAUACUUUCAUAGUCCUCAGUAAAUUCUUUUAGACUUUAUCUACUAUAUAUGCAUAUUCCCAUGCUGCAGGGAGACACCGGAGGAGGGCAGAAGCUCCUGGGCAACUGCGUUCACCCAAACAUGGAUAUUUGCAUAGGACACUAGCUGCAUGGUCCCCUAGCAAAGCAAAAGUCCCUACUCACACAUAAUAUUGAAAAAUUUUGGCCUAGUUUUAUUGCUUGACAUCACUUUUUAAACUUUCUGUAUCAGUACUUACAUUCAAACUGACAUAUAUGAAAGCUGUGACAAAAAAAAA